AUUGAACGCUGGCGGCAUGCUUUACACAUGCAAGUCGAACGGUAACAGGCCGCAAGGUGCUGACGAGUGGCGAACGGGUGAGUAAUGCAUCGGAACGUGCCCAGUCGUGGGGGAUAACGCAGCGAAAGCUGUGCUAAUACCGCAUACGAUCUAUGGAUGAAAGCGGGGGACCGUAAGGCCUCGCGCGAUUGGAGCGGCCGAUGUCAGAUUAGGUAGUUGGUGGGUAAAGGCCUACCAAGCCGACGAUCUGUAGCUGGUCUGAGAGGACGACCGGCCACACUGGGACUGAGACACGGCCCAGACUCCGACGGGAGGCAGCAGUGGGGAAUUUUGGACAAUGGGCGCAAGCCUGAUCCAGCAAUGCCGCGUGCAGGAAGAAGGCCUUCGGGUUGUAAACUGCUUUUGUACGGAACGAAACGGUCUGGGUUAAUACCCUGGGCUAAUGACGGUACCGUAAGAAUAAGCACCGGCUAACUACGUGCCAGCCGCCGCCGUAAUAC
rnacentral:rRNA from 1 species